rnacentral:misc_RNA from 1 species
GAUGAAGAACGUAGCGAAAUGCGAUACGUAGUGUGAAUUGCAGAAUUCAGUGAAUCAUCGAAUCUUUGAACGCACAUUGCACCUCUCGGUAUUCCGGGAGGUAUGCCUGUUCGAGCGUCAUCUGUACCCUCAAGCUCUGCUUGGUGUUGGGUGUUUGUUCCGCCUCUGUGUGUGAACUCGCCUCAAAACAAUUGGCAGCCGGCGUACUUGUUUCGGAGCGCAGCACAUUUUGCGAUCCAGAUCAACGUACAGCGGCAUCCAAGAAGCCUUAUUUAACGCUCUUGACCUCGGAUCAGGUAGGGAUACCCGCUGAACUUAAGCAUAUCAAUAAGCGGAGGA